rnacentral:tRNA from 1 species
GGGGAUUUAGCUCAGUGGUGGAGUGCUUGCCUACCAAGCACAAGGCCCUGGGUUCGGUUCCCAGCUCCG